rnacentral:rRNA from 1 species
UACGGAGGUGGCAAGCGUUGCUCGGAAUCACUGGGCGUAAAGGGCGCGUAGGCGGGGAGGCAAGUCGGGCGUGAAAUCCCUCGGCCCAACUGAGGAACUGCGCCCGAGACUGCUUCUCUUGAGUCCCGGAGAGGAAGAUGGAAUUCCCGGUGUAGCGGUGAAAUGUGUAGAGAUCGGGAGGAACACCGGUGGCGAAGGCGGUCUUCUGGACGGUGACUGACGCUGAGGCGCGAAAGCGUGGGGAGCAAACGGG